rnacentral:rRNA from 1 species
UACGUAGGGUGCAAGCGUUGUCCGGAAUUAUUGGGCGUAAAGGGCGCGUAGGCGGGCAGGCAAGUCGAAGGUGAAAUCCCACGGCUCAACCGUGGAAGUGCCCCCGAUACUGCCUGUCUCGAGGGAGAUAGGGGCGUGCGGAACUUCCGGUGGAGCGGUGAAAUGCGUAGAUAUCGGAAGGAACACCGGUGGCGAAAGCGGCGCGCUGGAUCUCUUCUGACGCUGAUGCGCGAAAGCCAGGGGGAGCAA